AGAGUUUGAUCAUGGCUCAGGAUGAACGCUGGCGGUAUGCUUAACACAUGCAAGUCGAACGGACGUUUUCGGACGUUAGUGGCGGACGGGUGAGUAACGCGUGAGAAUCUGCCUAUAGGUUCGGGACAACAGCUGGAAACGGCUGCUAAUACCGGAUGUGCCGAGAGGUAAAAGAUUUAUUGCCUAUAGAUGAGCUCGCGUCCGAUUAGCUAGUUGGUGAGGUAAGGGCUCACCAAGGCAUUGAUCGGUAGCUGGUCUGAGAGGAUGAUCAGCCACACUGGGACUGAGACACGGCCCAGACUCCUACGGGAGGCAGCAGUGGGGAAUUUUCCGCAAUGGGCGAAAGCCUGACGGAGCAAUACCGCGUGAGGGAGGAAGGCUCUUGGGUUGUAAACCUCUUUUCUCAGGGAAGAACACAAUGACGGUACCUGAGGAAUCAGCAUCGGCUAACUCCGUGCCAGCCGCCGCGGUAAUUC
rnacentral:rRNA from 1 species